UCCCAUCUGCCCUGGCUGUCACAGGCUAAUAGCACCAGCUGCUUUCCAUUGCCCUAAGGAGUGAUUCUACUGCGGCAACGAGACCAAAUACAACGAAAGUAUUGAUGCUGCAAAAGAAGACGGAUCUUUUGACCUUAAAGAAGGAGAUGAAAUUACCUACAAUUACGGAGGAGGAGACUGGCCUUGGCGUAGCAAGGUAAAACAUCUACUCUGAAAAAGAGGAAGGCUCGGGAAGGAAAUGAGGUCCAUGCAGUGGAGAGACAUAUGAAGACCUUCAUCAUGUCAUGUCGUGACCCAGGGAAGUUGGCCUGUGAAAACUGCAUUAGAUCUGAGUCUUUAUAUCUUAAAGAUAGAGACUGGCAAAGUGUCAAAUUCUAUGUCUAUUACUGCACUGUAGCUUACAAAAGAGAUAUAAACAAAGAUUAAAUAACACUUUGAUAGUAACACUUUACAUCUAUAUUACAGAUACUGUACAUUAUAACAUCUGUAGUAAUGCUUUAAUAAUAAGUUACGUUACACCUCUAGCCUUUUACUUUGUAAUGAACCGCUCAGCAUUUACUUCAUCAUAAACUAAUCAGGAACAAAUCAGGCAUUUAAAAUAUCCAUUAGAAUCUUUACCUACACCGUUAUAUUGAAUUAGAUCAAAUUGGUUUGGGCCGCCUUCUUCCAGUGAUCCUUAUGCAGUUGGCUGACAAGUUCAUGAGUAAGCCUAUUGGGCAAUAAAAGCUUCAGUGUGCUACCCAUUUACAUGUUUAGACUGCCUAGAAUCAAAAUUAGCUACCUCAACAUACAUUAUUAAGUUGUUACUGUCACUUUUUAGCUUAGUCAGUUAAGUGGAUAUAGAAUUGUCUUUAUGACAUUUGGUUGUGUGUCUGUGUUUGGCUAGUAUCUUUAUUUUUCUCUAUGUUUAACUUUGAGCUGGCUAUAUGUAGUAAGCAGAAGUGUUAUGUCAAACUUAAAUGAGUCCAAGUUCAUUCAUGGCACAUGUGAGCUUAGUAGUUGUGCACUUUAAUGGGCAAAUAUUUGUUGUCUUUUACAGUAAAGAAGCUCAAGACUCAAGUUGUCUUUAUAAUGUUGAAUAGACAGGGUUUUUUCAACUGGCUGACAACUUUUCACUUGAUUAGAGAUCCA
ensembl:lncRNA